CGCAGCCGCGGUAAUUCCAGCUCCAAUAGCGUAUAUUAAAGUUGUUGCAGUUAAAAAGCUCGUAGUUGAAUUUCGAGAUCGGUUUAUUGGUCGUGCUAUUGUACGUACUGGUAUUACCGGUUUCCCCCUUCUGACGAACCAUAAUGCCAUUAAUUUGGUGUUUUGGGAAAUCAGGACUGUUACUUUGAAAAAAUUAGAGUGUUUAAAGCAGGCUCACGCUUGAAUACAUUAGCAUGGAAUAACGGAAUAGGACGUUUGAUUCUAUUUUGUUGGUUUCUAGGAUCGACGUAAUGAUUAAUAGGGAUAGUUGGGGGCAUUAGUAUUCAAUUGUCAGAGGUGAAAUUCUUGGAUUUAUUGAAGACUAACUACUGCGAAAGCAUUUGCCAAGGAUGUUUUCAUUAAUCAAGAACGAAAGUUAGGGGAUCGAAGACGAUCAGAUACCGUCGUAGUCUUAACCAUAAACUAUGCCGACUAGGGAUCGGAUGAUGUUAAUUUUUUAAUGACUCAUUCGGCGCCUUACGGGAAACCAAAGUGUUUGGGUUCGU
rnacentral:rRNA from 1 species